CACGUAGGGGGCGAGCGUUGUCCGGAUUUAUUGGGCGUAAAGAGCUCGUAGGCGGUUUCGUAAGUCGGGUGUGAAAACCCCAGGCUCAACCUGGAGACGCCACCCGAGACUGCGAUGACUAGAGUCCGGUAGGGGAGCGUGGAAUUCCCGGUGUAGUGGUGGAAUGCGUAGAUAUCGGGAGGAACACCAGUGGCGAAGGCGGCUUCCUGGACCGGUUCUGACACUGAGGAGCGAAAGCGUGGGGAGCGAUCCGG
rnacentral:rRNA from 1 species